CCUGGCGGCCGUAGCGCGGUGGUCCCACCUGACCCCAUGCCGAACUCAGAAGUGAAACGCCGUAGCGCCGAUGGUAGUGUGGGGUCUCCCCAUGCGAGAGUAGGGAACUGCCAAGG
rnacentral:rRNA from 1 species